rnacentral:rRNA from 1 species
UACGUAGGUGGCAAGCGUUGUCCGGAUUUACUGGGCGUAAAGAGCGCGCAGGCGGUCGUCCAAGUCGCGUGUGAAAGCCCCCGGCUCAACUGGGGAGGGUCACGCGAUACUGGUCGACUCGAAGGCAGGAGAGGGUAGUGGAAUUCCCGGUGUAGCGGUGAAAUGCGUAGAGAUCGGCAGGAACACCCAGGGGGAAACCAGUCGACUGGGCAUCUACUGACGCUGAGGUGCGAGAGCGUGGGGAGCGAACCGG